rnacentral:lncRNA from 1 species
UGUCUCUUUGGCUUACUGUGGAAAAACUCAAGGGGAGAUUAUUCUCUGAAAAAUCUUACCAGAGGUGAAAAUCUGACAGCUCAAAAUGAAGCAAAAACCCAAGAUUAAAACAGACACCAUUUUGUGCCCACUCAGUCUUCUUUCCAGGGUCAUACAUGUGUAUAACUUUAUGAACAUCGUUACACAUCCUGCUUUAUUUUUCAAUUCGCAUAAUCUUUUUCUGUAUAUCCUCUAAUUUAGUACUAUUUCAUAGUUAUGGUAUUUGUUAAAGGAAUAUAAAACAUCAAUACGCAGCAAUAGAUCAACUGU